ACAAGUUCAACGGCCGCGGUAUUUUGACCGUGCAAAGGUAGCGCAAUCACUUGUCUUUUAAAUAGAGACCUGUAUGAAUGGCUAAACGAGGGCUUAACUGUCUCCCUUUUCAGGUCAGUGAAAUUGAUCUACCCGUGCAGAAGCGGGUAUAACAAUACAAGACGAGAAGACCCUUUGGAGCUUAAGGUACAAAACUCAACCACGUAAAGCAACUUAAUAAAAAAUAAAAACUUUGUGAAACAUGAGAUUUUACCUUCGGUUGGGGCGACCGCGGAGGAAAAUAAAGCCUCCAAGUGGACCGGGACAAACUCCUAAAACCAAGAGAAACAUCUCUAAGCCACAGAACAUCUGACCAAACAUGAUCCGGCCACCAGGACCGAUCAACGAACCAAGUUACCCUAGGGAUAACAGCGCAAUCCCCUCCCAGAGUCCAUAUCGACGAGGGGGUUUACGACCUCGAUGUUGGAUCAGGACAUCCUAAUGGUGCAGCCGCUAUUAAGGGUUCGUUUGUUCAACGAUUAAAGUCCUACGUGAUC
rnacentral:rRNA from 1 species